rnacentral:snRNA from 1 species
GUGCUCACUUCGGCAGCACAUAUACUGGAGUUGGAGCGAUACAGAG